rnacentral:misc_RNA from 1 species
AACGCACAUUGCGCCCGCUAGUAUUCUGGCGGGCAUGCCUGUUCGAGCGUCAUUUCAACCCUCAGGCUCCUUGUCUCAUGGCAAGGAUUCGAGCCUGGUGUUGGAGAUCGGCCGCCCCUUAUCGAGCGGCCGUCUCCGAAAUAUAGUGGCGGUCUCGCUGUAGCCUCCUCUGCGUAGUACUAUACCUCGCUCUGGGAAUGCAGUGUGACCAUGCCGUAAAACCCCCUAUUUUUUUUUGGUUGACCUCGGAUCAGGUAGGAAUACCCGCUGAACUUAA